GAACAAUGCUACAGGGGUGAAUGGAAGGGAGCUCAGAACACCUAUGCAAGUUUCUGUAUGUGCAGAGCAAAUCUCAGUGAGAACUGAUGGUGAGCUUUUGUCAGUACUCCUCCAGUUUGAAGAAAUACAGGCCCAUAAAUACUGGACUGUAAUUAUUGAAGAUCUAAAUAUCUUAUGGAACACAUCACAGAAGUAUACUAUGAUUUAACUGCCCAUAGGACAAGUGGAACAUGCAGCAACUGACUCAGAUACACAACUUUACAAGGCUACCUUUUAGAAUAAGACGACCCUCUCCUGCUAGAGAUCCUCCUGAUCCCAAGGACCUGCUUCAUGUCUCCCAUCUAAAUCCAAGAUUUGCUCCAUUCAAGAUGAAGACAGAAGAUUCAUUUCUAGAUGAAGAGGAUGUUAAACUUAUAUUUGAACUGGAGUGAUGCAAAGAUGAAUCAUCUUACAAUUCCUGCUCUGAAGGAGCCCGUAAUUAUGGAGGUGAAACUGCUACCCACCUACACAGUUACACUAUAAAGCAAUCAGGGAUAAUUGAUGUAAUAAAUCUGAAAGCAAAAUACAAAGGAGUGGGCAGCAGAUUCUGACGGAAGUGGUUAAAGAAGGCUUGCUGGAAAACUUUCCAUCUCCUUCUCCAUCUGUUAAAAUGCACUUUGUGUUUCCAGAUCUGUAUUAAAUAUAAC
rnacentral:lncRNA from 1 species